GAUGAAGAACGUAGCGAAACGCGAUAGUUAAUGUGAAUUGCAGAAUUCAGUGAAUCAUCGAGUCUUUGAACGCACAUUGCGCCCAUUGGUAUUCCGUUGGGCACGUCUGUUUGAGCGUCAUUACAACAGUUCAGCGUAAGCUGGUUAUGAGUUCUGUUUUUUUAAACAAAAAACAGGCUUUAAAAUGUAUGUUCUGCAGGUCGCUUUGCUAAACCCUAAACAUUAAAUACUGUUCUAGUGAAGCAUUUGCGACUCUGCCUGAAAAAAAACUUUUGUUAAAGUUUGACCUCAGAUCAGACAAGGAUACCCGCUGAACUUAAGCAUAUCAAUAAGCGGAGGA
rnacentral:misc_RNA from 1 species